AAAUAUAUGGGGAUAAAAAUAACAAGAAUAUAUAAAGAUCUUAGUUAUGAUAUCAUCAAAAAAUUAUCCAUCUUAAAACCAAUUGGCACUAAAUGGAGAGAUGUCUCAAAUAUAUGUAGUGAAUUUUCAAGUCAAACUUAAUUUAUGUGGGGUUAAUUUAACCUAAUAUAAAGUAUUAUACUAUAUGUUCUGUAGUAAUCAAGUUGGGGUUGAAAUAAUGCAAACGAG
rnacentral:lncRNA from 1 species